AAAGGGGUGCCAAAAAUGGCUGAGAUUAUACCCUCCGAACCUGAUACGGAUAAUGCCGAGACAGGGAUUGUGAAUUU
rnacentral:ncRNA from 1 species